rnacentral:rRNA from 1 species
UACGUAGGGGGCAAGCGUUGUCCGGAAUCAUUGGGCGUAAAGCGCGCGUAGGCGGCCCGAUCAGUCCGCUGUAAAAGUCCAGGGCUCAACCCUGGAAAGCCGGUGGAUACUGCCGGGCUAGAGUCCGGAAGAGGCGAGUGGAAUUCCUGGUGUAGCGGUGGAAUGCGCAGAUAUCAGGAGGAACACCGAUAGCGAAGGCAGCUCGCUGGGACGGUACUGACGCUGAGGUGCGAAAGCGUGGGGAGCGAACAGG